rnacentral:rRNA from 1 species
GCAAGUCGAGGGGUAACAGGAGAAAGCUUGCUUUCUUGCUGACGACCGGCGCACGGGUGCGUAACGCGUAUGCAACCUACCCACAACUGGAGCAUAGCCCGGAGAAAUUCGGAUUAAUACUCCAUAAUGCAGGGGUACCUCCUGGUACUAUUUGCUAAAGAUUUAUCGGUUGUGGAUGGGCAUGCGUCUGAUUAGUUUGUUGGUGAGGUAACGGCUCACCAAGACUACGAUCAGUAGGGGGUCUGAGAGGAUGAUC